ACGGAAGGCAGCAGUGGGGUAUAUUGGGCAAUGGGCGAAAGCCUGACCCAGCAACGCCGCGUGAAGGAAGAAGGCCUUCGGGUUGUAAACUUCUUUUACCAGGGACGAAUAAUGACGGUACCUGGAGGAAAAGCAACGGCUAACUACGUGCCAGCAGCCGCGGUAAUACGUAGGUUGCAAGCGUUGUCCGGAUUUACUGGGUGUAAAGGGCGUGUAGGCGGAGCUGCAAGUCAGAUGUGAAAUCCCGGGGCUCGACCCCGGAACUGCAUUUGAAACUGUAGCCCUUGAGUAUCGGAGAGGCAAGCGGAAUUCCUAGUGUAGCGGUGAAAUGCGUAGAUAUUAGGAGGAACACCAGUGGCGAAGGCGGCUUGCUGGACGACAACUGACGCUGAGGCGCGAAAGCGUGGGGAGCAAACAGGAUUAGAUACCCUGGUA
rnacentral:rRNA from 1 species